GAUGAAGAACGUAGCGAAAUGCGAUAAGUAAUGCGAAUUGCAGAAUUCAGUGAAUCAUCGAAUCUUUGAACGCAUAUUGCGCUCUCUGGUAUUCCGGAGAGCAUGCUUGUUUGAGUAUCAGUAAACACCUCAACUUCCAUAUCUUUUUUGAAAUGGGAGUUGGACUUGAGUGAUCCCAACGCUUUUCCUCACCGAAAAGUGGCGGGUUACUUGAAAUGCAGGUGCAGCUGGACUUUUCUCUGAGCUAUAAGCAUAUCUAUUUAGUCUGCCUAAAAACAGAUUAUUACCUUUGCUGCAGCUAACAUAAAGGAGAUUAGUUCUUGUGCUGACUGAUGCAGGAUUCACAAAGACAGGCUUCGGCCGACUUUGUAAACUCGAUCUCAAAUCAAGUAAGACUACCCGCUGAACUUAAGCAUAUCAAUAAGCGGAGGA
rnacentral:misc_RNA from 1 species